GCCCGAGCCCGAGCCGCCGCCGCCAUGCGCCGCCCCGGGCCCGCCUGCUGCGCGCUGCUGCUAGUCCUGGGGCUCUGCCGGGCGCGCCCCCGGAACGCACUGCUGCUCCUCGCGGAUGACGGAGGCUUUGAGAGUGGCGCGUACAACAACAGCGCCAUCGCCACCCCGCACCUGGAUGCCUUGGCCCGCCGCAGCCUCCUCUUCCGCAACGCCUUCACCUCGGUCAGCAGCUGCUCUCCCAGCCGCGCCAGCCUCCUCACUGGCCUGCCCCAGCAUCAGAAUGGGAUGUACGGGCUGCACCAGGACGUGCACCACUUCAACUCCUUCGACAAGGUGCGGAGCCUGCCGCUGCUGCUCAGCCAAGCUGGUGUGCGCACAGGUCUUUCUUCCUCUAUGUCGCCUUCCACGACCCCCACCGCUGUGGGCACUCCCAGCCCCAGUACGGAACCUUCUGUGAGAAGUUUGGCAACGGAAAGAGCGGCAUGGGCCGUAUCCCAGACUGGACCCCCCAGGCCUACGACCCACUGGACGUGCUGGUGCCUUACUUCGUCCCCAACACCCCGGCAGCCCGAGCCGACCUGGCCGCUCAG
rnacentral:sRNA from 1 species